AACGUGGAGCAGUGGAUCACUUGGCUUGUGCAUCGAUGAAGAAUGCAUCUAGCUGCAAGAACUAAUGUAAAUUGCAGGACACUGAUCAUCGACACUUCGAAUGCACUUUGCAGCCCUGGGUUACUCCCGGGGCUAUGCCUGUCUGAGGGUUG